CAGUCGCCGCGGUAAUACGGAGGGCGCGAGCGUUACCCGGAUUUACUGGGCGUAAAGGGCGUGUAGGCGGCCUGGGGCGUCCCAUGUGAAAGGCCACGGCUCAACCGUGGAGGAGCGUGGGAUACGCUCAGGCUAGAGCGUGGGAGAGGGUGGUGGAAUUCCCGGAGUAGCGGUGAAAUGCGCAGAUACCGGGAGGAACGCCGAUGGCGAAGGCAGCCACCUGGUCCACUUCUGACGCUGAGGCGCGAAAGCGUGGGGAGCAAACCGGAUUAGAUACCCCAGUAGUCCCUGUCUCUUAUAC
rnacentral:rRNA from 1 species